AUUGAACGCUGGCGGCAUGCUUUACACAUGCAAGUCGAACGGUAACAGGCCGCAAGGUGCUGACGAGUGGCGAACGGGUGAGUAAUGCAUCGGAACGUGCCCAGUCGUGGGGGAUAACUACUCGAAAGAGUAGCUAAUACCGCAUACGAUCUAUGGAUGAAAGCGGGGGACCGUAAGGCCUCGCGCGAUUGGAGCGGCCGCUGUCAGAUUAGGUAGUUGGUGGGGUAAAGGCUCACCAAGCCAACGAUCUGUAGCUGGUCUGAGAGGACGACCAGCCACACUGGGACUGAGACACGGCCCAGACUCCGACGGGAGGCAGCAGUGGGGAAUUUUGGACAAUGGGCGCAAGCAUGAUCCAGCAAUGCCGCGUGCAGGAAGAAGGCCUUCGGGUUGUAAACUGCUUUUGUACGGAACGAAACGGCUCUGGUUAAUACCCGGGGCUAAUGACGGUACCGUAAGAAUAAGCACGGGCUAACUACGUG
rnacentral:rRNA from 1 species